CCUACGGGUGACAGCAGUGAGGAAUAUUGGUCAAUGGACGAGAGUCUGAACCAGCCAAGUAGCGUGAAGGAUGACUGCCCUAUGGGUUGUAAACUUCUUUUAUAUGGGAAUAAACUGUUCCACGUGUGGGCUUUUGUAUGUACCAUAUGAAUAAGGAUCGGCUAACUCCGUGCCAGCAGCCGCGGUAAUACGGAGGAUCCGAGCGUUAUCCGGAUUUAUUGGGUUUAAAGGGAGCGUAGGUGGAUUUUUAAGUCAGUUGUGAAAGUUUGCGGCUCAACCGUAAAAUUGCAGUUGAAACUGGCAGUCUUGAGUACAGUAGAGGUGGGCGGAAUUCGUGGUGUAGCGGUGAAAUGCUUAGAUAUCACGAAGAACUCCGAUUGCGAAGGCAGCUCACUGGACUGCAACUGACACUGAGGCUCGAAAGUGUGGGUAUCAAACAGGAUUAGAUACCCGAGUAGUC
rnacentral:rRNA from 1 species